CCCUUGUACACACCGCCCGUCACACCAUGGGAGUUGGUUUUACCUGAAGCCGGUGCGCUAACCCGCAAGGGAGGCAGCCGACCACGGUAGGGUCAGCGACUGGGGUG
rnacentral:rRNA from 1 species